rnacentral:rRNA from 1 species
AGAGUUUGAUCAUGGCUCAGGAUGAACGCUAGCGGCAGGCUUAAUACAUGCAAGUCGAGGGGCAGCACAGGUAGCAAUACUGGGUGGCGACCGGCAAACGGGUGCGGAACACGUACGCAACCUUCCUUUAAGUGGGGGAUAGCCCAGGGAAACUUGGAUUAAUACCCCUUAACAUUAUGAGAUGGCAUCAUUUUAUAAUUAAAGCUCCGGCGCUUAAAGAUGGGCGUGCGCCUGAUUAGGUAGUUGGCGGGGUAACAGCCCACCAAGCCUACGAUCAGUAACUGGUGUGAGAGCACGACCAGUCACACGGGCACUGAGACACGGGCCCGACUCCUACGGGAGGCAGCAGUAAGGAAUAUUGGUCAAUGGACGCAAGUCUGAACCAGCCAUGCCGCGUGGAGGAUGACGGCCCUCUGGGUUGUAAACUCCUUUUAUCUGGGAAGAAAUGCAGAUUUUCUAAUCUGUUUGACGGUACCAGAGGAAUAAGCACCGGCUAACUCCGUGCCAGCAGCCGCGGUAAUACGGAGGGUGCAAGCGUUAUCCGGAUUCACUGGGUUUAAAGGGUGCGUAGGUGGAGUGGUAAGUCAGUGGUGAAAUCUCCAAGCUUAACUUGGAAACUGCCGUUGAUACUAUCAUUCUUGAAUAUCGUGGAGGUAAGCGGAAUAUGUCAUGUAGCGGUGAAAUGCUUAGAUAUGACAUAGAACACCGAUUGCGAAGGCAGCUUGCUACACGAUCAUUGACACUGAGGCACGAAAGCGUGGGGAUCAAACAGGAUUAGAUACCCUGGUAGUCCACGCCCU